UAAUCAAGUGUUUUUUAUGGCCACUUUCAAAAAUCCAUAUCCACCUUGUGUGCAAUGUCAUCUCUCUGGGGGCUGUCGGCUGUCAAAAGCCGUGUGUGGUCACCUUUGGGAUUUAUAUCUACUCAGAACUUUAGUGAUUUUGUCUGAAACAUAUUAUGAAUACUUAAUUCAAAAUA
rnacentral:misc_RNA from 1 species